CCUGGUUGAUCUUGCCAGUAGUCAUAUGCUUGUCUCACAGAUUAAGCCAUGCAAGUGAAAGUACAUAUGUAAAUAAUAUAUUGAAACUGCGAACGGCUCAUUAAAACAGUUAUAAUCUACUUGAUGUUUUUAAUAUAAGGAUAACUACGGAAAAUCUGUAGCUAAUACUUGUGAAAAUACCUUUUGAUAUAUACAUAUGUAUGUAUCAUUAAGGUAUGUAUUUGUUAGAUAUAAGAAUAAAAUAAAUAUAAUUGAAUUAUAACAAAGAAGAAACACAUAAAAUAUGUGUAUUAUCAAUCGAGUAUCUGACCUAUCAGCUUUUGAUGUUAGGGUAUUGACCUAACAUGGCUAUGACGGGUAACGGGGAAUUAGAGUUCGAUUCCGGAGAGGGAGCCUGAGAAAUAGCUACCACAUCUAAGGAAGGCAGCAGGCGCGUAAAUUACCCAAUUCUAAAAAAGAGAGGUAGUGACAAGAAAUAACAAUACAAUAUCGAAAAAUGAUUUUGUAAUUGGAAUGAUAGGAAUUUACAAGGUUCCUAGAGAAACAAUUGGAGGGCAAGUCUGGUGCCAGCAGCCGCGGUAAUUCCAGCUCCAAUAGCAUAUAUUAAAAUUGUUGCAGUUAAAACGUUCGUAGUUGAAUAUUAAAGAAUCCGAUGUUUCAUUUAAACUGGUUUGGGAAAACCAAAUAUAUUAUAUAUUUUGCUUUGUUCAAAAUAAGGUUUUCUAAUAAAUUAUGUUUUUAUCAGAUAUGACAGAAUCUUUUUUAAAAUCUCUUCAAUAUGCUUUUAUUGCUUUUGAGAGGUUUUGUUACUUUGAGUAAAAUUAAGUGUUCAUAACAGACGGGUAGUCAUGAUUGAGUUCAUUGUGUUUGAAUACUACAGCAUGGAAUAACAAAUAUGAAUAAGCUAAUUAUUUUUUUUUUUCAUAAUUUUUUUUGAUAUUCUUAUUAGCUUAGUUACGAUUAAUAGGAGUAGCUUUGGGGGCAUUCGUAUUCAGAUGUCAGAGGUGAAAUUCUAAGAUUUUCUGGAGACGGACUACUGCGAAAGCAUUUGCCUAAUCUAUUUCCAUUAAUCAAGAACGAAAGUUAAGGGAGUGAAGACGAUCAGAUACCGUCGUAAUCUUAACCAUAAACUAUACCGACUAGGUGUUGGAUGAAUAUAAAAAAUAUAUAAAUAUGUAGCAUUUCUUAGGGAAUGUUGAUUUUAUAUUAGAAUUGCUUCCUUCAGUACCUUAUGAGAAAUCAAAGUCUUUGGGUUCUGGGGCGAGUAUUCGCGCAAGCGAGAAAGUUAAAAGAAUUGACGGAAGGGCACCACCAGGCGUGGAGCUUGCGGCUUAAUUUGACUCAACACGGGAAAACUCACUAGUUUAAGACAAGAGUAGGAUUGACAGAUUAAUAGCUCUUUCUUGAUUUCUUGGAUGGUGAUGCAUGGCCGUUUUUAGUUCGUGAAUAUGAUUUGUCUGGUUAAUUCCGAUAACGAACGAGAUCUUAACCUGCUAAUUAGCGGUAAGUACACUAUAUUUUUAUUUGAAAUUGAAUAUAGGUAAUUAUACAUGUUUAUUCAGUGUUCAAAUUAGGAUAUUUUUUUUAUUAAAAUAUUCUUUUCCCUGUUUUACUAAAUAAUUUGUUUUUUUUUACUCUAUUUCUCUCUUCUUUUAAGAAUGUACUUGUUUGAUUAAAUAAAGCUUCUUAGAGGAACAGUGUGUAUCUAACACAAGGAAGUUUAAGGCAACAACAGGUCUGUGAUGUCCUUAGAUAAACUAGGCUGCACGCGUGCUACAAUGAUAUAUAUAACAAGUUGUUAAAAAUGUACUUAUAAAUAAGUGUGUACAGUUUUUCCUGUACUGAAAAGUAUAGGUAAUCUUUAUCAGUAUAUAUCGUAAUUGGGAUAGAUUAUUGCAAUUAUUAAUCUUGAACGAGGAAUGCCUAGUAAGCAUGAUUCAUUAGAUUGUGCUGACUACGUCCCUGCCCUUUGUACACACCGCCCGUCGCUCCUACCGAUUGAAAGAUAUGAUAAAUUGUUUGGAUAUGAAUUAAAAUAAUGAAAUUUUAUAUUUCUGAUUUUUUCUAGAAGAACUGUAAAUCCUAUCUUUUAAAGGAAGGAGAAGUCGUAACAAGGUUUCCGUAGGUGAACCUGCGGAAG
rnacentral:rRNA from 1 species